UACAAUAUAAAUAUAAACAUGAAUUUGAUUUAUGAAUGCUUUAGAUUAAUAAGGAGUGUAUUUCUCGACCAUUACUCCUCAAUAACAGAUCAAUUUGGUUUAAUGUAUAGUAUGCAAUAUGACAAUAAUGUUUUCAUGUUAUGGAGUUGCGAUUCAUUUUAUAAAACAAUUGCUAUGUUCUGUUUUUUAAUCAAGGAGGAUCCAAGUGAAGCUACAGGAGUUUCAUUAACGUCAAUAACUUGGACCGAACAGUUUAUUUUGCUUGAUGAAGAGCAGGAGGCAGUGUGGAGAGAAAGAGGAGCCGGGUUGAGCCCACUUCCAUCAUCGUACCACAAGGAAGAUGAGGGGGAGAAAUUAUCCUACCAUUAAAGAGGUAGUACUGACGCAUUUAUGGAGAUGGGACAUGAGGGCCUUGUCUGCGUGCUCAAGAGAAGAUUCCACAGAGUUCAAGCUGAGCAGGCUGCAGCAGGUUUGGAGGAAUCCUCCUCUGAAGAGGAAACAUGGCGAGGUACUUCUCCACUGAUGAAGAAAUUUAUUCUCAAGAGAAGCUGCCUCAGCUCCACGGUCCCUCCUGCAGCUUCCACUCCUGAUGCUAACCCCCUGUCUACAUCACACCAUCCGGGCAGACCUGGAGUCACAGAACUUUGUCCAGAGCUGCCGUCUGAGAAUUGUUGAUCAUAUAAUUUCCAGCAGAUGCCUUAAUGUAAUGUUUGUGCACAAUA